GAUGAACGCUGGCGGCGUGCCUAAUACAUGCAAGUCGAGCGAACAGACGAGGAGCUUUCUCCUCUGACGUUAGCGGCGGACGGGUGAGUAACACGUGGAUAACCUACCUAUAAGACUGGGAUAACUUCGGGAAACCGGAGCUAAUACCGGAUAAUAUAUUGAACCGCAUGGUUCAAUAGUGAAAGACGGUUUUGCUGUCACUUAUAGAUGGAUCCGCGCCGCAUUAGCUAGUUGGUAAGGUAACGGCUUACCAAGGCAACGAUGCGUAGCCGACCUGAGAGGGUGAUCGGCCACACGGGAACUGAGACACGGUCCAGACUCCUACGGGAGGCAGCAGUAGGGAAUCUUCCGCAAUGGGCGAAAGCUUGACGGAGCAACGCCGAGUGAGUGAUGAAGGUCUUCGGAUCGUAAAACUCUGUUAUUAGGGAAGAACAAAUGUGUAAGUAACUAUGCACGUCUUGACGGUACCUAAUCAGAAAGCCACGGCUAACUACGUG
rnacentral:rRNA from 1 species